rnacentral:rRNA from 1 species
GAGCGCGCCCUUCGGGGUGAGCGGCGGACGGGUUAGUAACGCGUGGGAACGUGCCCUUUACUACGGAAUAGUCCCGGGAAACUGGGUUUAAUACCGUAUACGCCCUUCGGGGGAAAGAUUUAUCGGUAAAGGAUCGGCCCGCGUUAGAUUAGAUAGUUGGUGGGGUAAUGGCCUACCAAGUCUACGAUCUAUAGCUGGUUUGAGAGGAUGAUCAGCAACACUGGGACUGAGACACGGCCCAGACUCCUACGGGAGGCAGCAGUGGGGAAUCUUGGACAAUGGGGGCAACCCUGAUCCAGCCAUGCCGCGUGAGUGAUGAAGGCCUUAGGGUCGUAAAGCUCUUUCGCCUGUGAUGAUAAUGACAGUAGCAGGUAAAGAAACCCCGGCUAACUCCGUGCCAGCAGCCGCGGUAAUACGGAGGGGGUUAGCGUUGUUCGGAAUUACUGGGCGUAAAGCGCACGUAGGCGGACUGGAAAGUUGGGGGUGAAAUCCCGGGGCUCAACCUCGGAACUGCCUCCAAAACUACUAGUCUAGAGUUCGAGAGAGGUGAGUGGAAUUCCGAGUGUAGAGGUGAAAUUCGUAGAUAUUCGGAGGAACACCAGUGGCGAAGGCGGCUCACUGGCUC